GUGUGUGUGUGUGUGUGUUGCAUUUUGAUAUAUAUAUACAUAUAUAUAUAUAUAUAUAUAUAUAUAUCAAAAUGCAACAUAUUGAUCA